UCCAGCCUAGCCAAGCUGCUUGGAGUUUAUAAACCAGGCCCUUACAGUGAGAACUGAGCUGAAUCAGACAGACAGAGGUCGUAUGAUGGAGUCACACACCUAUGUCCUCAUGUCUCUGUUUGUCUUGGUGUCUGGUGUGUGUGCAGAUAUCAUGAUGACCCAGUCUCCAUCCUCCCUGGCUGUAUCAGUAGGAGAGAAGGUUACCAUCAGCUGCAGGUCCAGUCAGAGUCUUUUAAACAUUGGAACCCAGAAGAAUUACUUGAAUUGGUACCAGCAGAAACCAGGGCAGUCUCCUAAAUUGCUGAUCUACUAUGCCUACACUCGGGACACUGGGGUCCCUGAUCGCUUCAUAGGCAGUGGAUCAGCAACAGAUUUCACUCUUACCAUUAACAGUGUCCAGGCUGAAGAUCUGGCGGUUUAUUACUGUCAGCAGGAUUUCCUCUAUUCCACGGUGCUUCAGCCCCCAACACAAACCUCCUUUGAGACUCUCACCAGCUGCCUGUAUCCUGCACAGCCCUGACCUAUACACUUCCCCUUUUUGUCUGAGAACCCAAACUUUCAUGAAACACUUAUGAAAAUGUUUGUAGAGUCCAGCAAAUUAUAAUGGGUUCAAUGUCA